rnacentral:rRNA from 1 species
UACGAAGGGUGCAAGCGUUAAUCGGAAUUACUGGGCGUAAAGCGUGCGUAGGCGGUUUCUUAAGUCUGCUGUGAAAGCCCUGGGCUCAACCUGGGAAUGGCGGUGGAUACUGAGAAGCUGGAGUACGGUAGAGGAAGGUGGAAUUCCCGGUGUAGCGGUGAAAUGCGUAGAGAUCGGGAGGAACAUCAGUGGCGAAGGCGGCCCUCUGGACCAGUACUGACGCUGAGGCACGAAAGCGUGGGGAGCAAACAGG